CAAAAAAAAACUAAUUCUUCAUCUCUUCAAUUCCAAUUUGCAGGAUUGUGAUCUGCAGGUUGAUUUAAGCUGAGUAUGCAGCUUAAUUCUCAACAGGAUCUCUCCCUCUCUCUGGUUUUCACCAUAUCCUCUCAACCACCUCUUCCUUCACCUUAUUUUCUCACGAUUUCAUGUGUUCAUGGAAAAGAUUUCAAUCUCUCUCUCUCUCUCUCUCUCUCUCUCUCUCUCUCUCUCUCUCUCUCUCAAGCCCAGCGACGCGGAUGUCUCAAAGGAGAUCCAGCACAUGGUGAGGUUCAUUCGCCAAGAAGCCGACGAAAAGGCCAACGAGAUCUCCGUAUCGGCUGAAGAAGCCCAUACAGGAUUGAGAACAAAAUUGGAUAAAGAGCACUUGGAUUUGGAGGUUUUGAGUUAUAUGAAAGCAACCUGGAUGAGGAGGUUGAAGUAUUGGGGGGAAGUAAUCGAACGGAGAGAGUGUGCAGCAGAGGGGAACAACGAACUGGAUAUAGGUGGGAGGGAAGGCACGGUGUAGGGGGACUGCGAACUGAAUAAAGGUUGAAGGUAGACUGGCUGUUAUUUAUUUAUUAAUUUUGAAGGGUAAAAUUGAAACUCAAUGUCUAGCUUGAAAAACAAUUUAAAUUUUCUUUUUAAAAGUACAUGUGGCAAAUUCUAUGUGGAAGUAUCACCAGCUGACGUAGUGA